GACGAACGCUGGCGGCGUGCCUAAUACAUGCAAGUCGAACGCUGAAGGAGGAGCUUGCUCUUCUGGAUGAGUUGCGAACGGGUGAGUAACGCGUAGGUAACCUGCCUGGUAGCGGGGGAUAACUAUUGGAAACGAUAGCUAAUACCGCAUAACAGUAGAUGUUGCAUGACAUUUACUUAAAAGGUGCAAUUGCAUCACUACCAGAUGGACCUGCGUUGUAUUAGCUAGUUGGUGGGGUAACGGCUCACCAAGGCGACGAUACAUAGCCGACCUGAGAGGGGGAUCGGCCACACUGGGACUGAGACACGGCCCAGACUCCUACGGGAGGCAGCAGUAGGGAAUCUUCGGCAAUGGACGGAAGUCUGACCGAGCAACGCCGCGUGAGUGAAGAAGGUUUUCGGAUCGUAAAGCUCUGUUGUAAGAGAAGAACGAGUGUGAGAGUGGAAAGUUCACACUGUGACGGUAUCUUACCAGAAAGGGACGGCUAACUACGUG
rnacentral:rRNA from 1 species